GAAAUGUCUGGUUUGUGGUCAUUCGUAUAAUUGUCAUCAUUACACUGGUGGUUCCAUUGUUGCUUAUAACAAAAAUUGUCAUCAAGGAAAAAAACAAAGGUUGAAUCUCAACACAACAAGACACAACAGAAUGCAGAACCUGAGGGACUUUAUCAAACACUCCAGCCAACGACUGAGGAGCAAGUCUACAGCAGCCUCACAGUGAUGGAGCAGAACUCCUCACAGCCGUCACCACAUCCACUCACUCUCUAACUGCUGAAGUCUCACUCUAUGUGUUAAGUUGAUGAUCUGAUGAACGGAAAUGAUGAAUGCAGUGAUUUUGUUUGUUUCUAAUUUUUCUAUUGUGCAAUAUUAUGCUACAGUACAUGUAGACAAAAUCUAUUUAAUGGUUACAUUGUCAGUAAUCAUUACAGGGUAACAAGGUUAACAAAAAAUUUAGAAAGUUACUUCUUCCAUUUUAGGAUGAGGAAGAGCUUUUUUUAUAUUAUAUUUUAAUUUAUAACAACCUCAACUCAAAAUCAGCCACUUUUUGCUUUUUGUUCAAAUUAAGAAUAAAAUGGUUUUCGGCUUUCAUGUGUGGUUGUACACAUUUUCUACAAUAUUUACUAUUGUGUGUCCUUACUACUGUAGACUGGCUGGUUAUAUGUUGGGUGUCCAUGUUGGGUAACAGGUAGGAUUAGGCCUGUAGGGAUGCAGUGUUUUAAGGAGCGGUGUCCUCACACAGAAGGACACAGCUGGUGUGUCUGUGAGUCAGAGGGAGGAGUUUUGACCUAAUCGAGGGUAAAGAGGAAAAGGAAGUUAUCCUCUGCAGAGACAGUCGUGAACUCAGCCUCAUUCCUUUUUACUAGUGUUUGUGAGCGUUGUCAGUUUCACAAUGAUGAAAGUCUGUGUGUGGACCGUGUGUCUGUUUACUGCUCUGACUGUCGGGGUGAAGAGUCUCAGACAAACAGGAUACGUUGGGCAAAAUGUAACAUUCCAGUGCUCAGACUGGGAGGGUUACACUUGGAGUGAUGUAACAUCUUACGUUAAGUACAUUAGUACAGAGAACAAGCAUGAGAUCAUGAGAGUAAAACCUGGAGACAUUAAUCAAAAGGACAGAAUAUCUUUAUACAACAAUGGAGGAACUUUGUCUGUGACCUUCACUGAUGUCCAGAAGUCAGACUCUGGGACUUAUUACUGUGGACUGGAUAGGUGGGGACAUGACAUAUAUAUACAGGUGAUCCUUCACGUUAUAGAUGCAGUGACUCCUGGUCCACAGACAACAGUUAGAACAGUCAGUGUGUGGUCAAGCUCCACUGUGUUUUCAAACAGCAAAAAUAUUACUUCAGAUAUUUCACCAUUGUUCACCACACGUCAGUCAACAGCAGCUGCUGCAUCAGAAGCACAUGGCGAUGAAGGGAAUGGAACAGGAAGUGUCCUGUACUUGAUCAUUGGUUUCACUGUUGUAAUAACUACACUGGUUCUUCUAUUGUGUCUAAUGAUGAAGAUAAAGAAAGAGAGAAAGAAAAAGGUGUCUAAGUCUGGUUCACCAGAAGCCGUCGUACAACAGGAUGCCGACUAUGCUGAAAUCAGACAUGAAGACCACACUGAGAGGGCGUCUGCUGCUGACGUUUACCCAGAGACGCUCUAUGCAAAUUAUUCCAGCCAACAGGACACAGCACAGCAGGACAGGGCUUCACACGAUGCUUCUGCUUCUAGUCCCCACGUCAGACACACAGAUUCCCAGUUUGAAUGUCUUUACUCUGUCGCUCAACUUCCUGAAGAGCGGCCUGAGUGUGAAUCUGCAAUAAAUGACUCAAGAUGCACCAUCUAUAGCGUAGUUAAGCCAGCACAGAUAACAUGAGGACUACUAAUACUACAGAUGAAAAGUGCUACACAAACCUCUGGCACAGUCACACAUGAAGUCUAAUAGUAGGAGGAGAGCAGCCAGCGCAUGCUAGCAAAGUGUUUUCAACAUGUUGCUGUGUUCAGGGGUUAACAAGUCAUUUCAGCUUUUAUUUGUUAUUAUAAUAUAUUAUAUUUGUACGUACGUAAUAAUAUAAAAUAAAUACAUGCUGCAUUUUAUGAACA
ensembl:lncRNA